AUCAGCACUGUGUGGGACCGACAACGGAAUACAAUAGAAAAGAUGUUUAACGACACCCCAGCAAGAAAAAUAUAUCGGCUAUUGGGUGUUAAACUAUGAAAAUACAGAUAUAUCGCCUAUAGACCGGUUGUGUGAUGGUGUUGGGGAUAUCUGGCAAAAUUCAACAAAGAAUACAACAAAGAAUGCUCCCAUCCAUGUUGGGUUGACUCUACAAGUGCAAGAAGUAAUGGCUUCGUGAAUAUCUGUUCGUUUGUUAACCGAAGAUAAAACAAACUGGGAACAUUUAUUCCAUCCAGUGCCGAAAACAAUUCUGCUUGAUUUGGCACUACUUUUUUGCCCAGUCAGCAUCGGCAUUAGAUUGCCAAUAUAUACAUCAAAUGACAGUUUUCCAUUAAUAAAAUAAUCUUAUCAUGUUUA